CACCAUCACCACCACCAAUGACAAUGACAUCACAGCUCCGACCUCACGAUCACCACCACCAAUGACGAUGCUACAGCCCUGACCUCACCAUCACCACCACCAAUGAUGACACUAUAGCCCUGACCUUACCAUCACCACCGCCAAUGACAAUGACAUCCCAGCCCCGACCUCACCAUCACCACCACCAAUGACAAUGACAUCACAGCCCCGACCUCACCAUCACCACCACCAAUGACGAUGCUACAGCCCCGACCUCACCAUCACCACCACCAAUGACAACGACAUAACAGCCCUGACCUCACCAUCACCACCAAUGACAACGACAUCACAGCCCCGACCUCACCAUCACCACCAAUGACAAUGACAUCACAGCCCCGACCUCACCAUCACUACCACCAAUGACAACGACAUCACAGCCCCAACCUCACCAUUACCACCACCAACAACAGACAUCAUGGCCCACAGGUGGCCAAACCCUUCAAUCACCUGCAAACCAGUGACCCUCACUUUUGCUUCUGAGACUUAUAAAAGCAAAAACAAAAAAACAGAUUCUCAAACCCAAACCGUGGCAAUUCUGGUUCAGCAGGUGUUAG
rnacentral:lncRNA from 1 species